UCAAAUCGAAGCACCUGACUCCAGAUCCCACAUCCUAAGUUUCAGCUUCUCACAUGUGACCUCAUGCAUGCAGAGGCACCUAACUGCCUUGGUGGGGGACUCUUUUCUCCAGCCUCCCUCUGUGUCAUGCUUCACCAUCAAGUGUUCUAAGUUAUUGGCUUCGAGAGGCUUGGUAACGUUUAAGGGAACUUUUAUUUCACUGAGAGUCUGCGUUUCUCUCAGACUGGUGGAUUUCCCAAGGUGCCUCAGGAGCUACUGCCCAGGGCGAGGUGAGUCCACACAGAUCGGAUCUGCUGGAGCUGCCUUGCUUUAUCUGUUUUAUCUUGGAUUGGGUUAAGAAGCAAGCCUCCAAAAAGUUCUUCUGGACCAGUCAAGGUGGGGGCUACUAAACCCCCUGGAAACAUAUCAAGAUGGAAGAACAUCUCUUGAAGAGCAGUCCUGGGUGAAGCUGGCAGGAAUAUCUACCAAGGGUGCAAGCUGAGAGCCCCCUCACACCCUGGUGGUGCUGACACUGCCUCCUAAGAAGAGUGUUGGUGCGCUUACAUCCAGUACUUUCAUCCUGCUCCAUCUGGCUGACUUCCACCAUUAUCAUUUGAGUUUUCACUUUCAUGGGGGAAGCAUUUAACUUCUUGAAAACUGUUGCAUAAAUACUUAAAGAAAUUAUUGUGCAGUAGGUACCAAAUUAGGAGCCUGAACAAGGGUUUCUGCAGCUCUGGGUUCAAUCCUACAUUCCAUACUGAAGUACAUAAGGAUAAAGGGGCACUGUGUCUGCAACUCAGUAUCAAAAAUUAUAGAAAAAAAUCCUAUAUGUAUACUUGCACACAGAUGCAUACAGAAACAGAAAGUAAAGGAUGAGCAGAUGUAGUAAAACAUUAACAUAUGGGGAUUCUGGGAAUUCUAGGAAUUCUUGCAGUUUUUCUGUAAGCCUAAAAUUAAAGAAUUUUAAAAACUAA